rnacentral:rRNA from 1 species
UACGUAGGGUGCAAGCGUUGUCCGGAAUUAUUGGGCGUAAAGAGCUCGUAGGCGGUUUGUCGCGUCUGCCGUGAAAGUCCGGGGCUCAACUCCGGAUCUGCGGUGGGUACGGGCAGACUAGAGUGAUGUAGGGGAGACUGGAAUUCCGUGGUGUAGCGGUGAAAUGCGCAGAUAUCAGGAGGAACACCGAUGGCGAAGGCAGGUCUCUGGGCAUUAACUGACGCUGAGGAGCGAAAGCAUGGGGAGCGAACAGG